rnacentral:rRNA from 1 species
GACGAACGCUGGCGGCGUGCUUAACACAUGCAAGUCGAACGGAAAGGCCCUGCUUUUGUGGGGUGCUCGAGUGGCGAACGGGUGAGUAACACGUGAGUAACCUGCCCUUGACUUUGGGAUAACUUCAGGAAACUGGGGCUAAUACCGGAUAGGAGCUCCUGCUGCAUGGUGGUGGUUGGAAAGUUUCGGCGGUUGGGGUUGGACUCGCGGCUUAUCAGCUUGUUGGUGUGGUAGUGGCUUACCAAGGCUCUGACGGGUAGCCGGCCUGAGAGGGUGACCGGCCACAUGGGGACUGAGAUACGGCCCAGACUCCUACGGGAGGCAGCAGUGGGGAAUAUUGCACAAUGGGCGGAAGCCUGAUGCAGAAACGCCGCGUGCGGGAUGACGGCCUUCGGGUUGUAAACCGCUUUCGCCUGUAACGAAGCGUGAGUGACGGUAAUGGGUAAAGAAGCACCGGCUAACUACGUG